UAACUUCGAGGAGUUCCUCUGAACAAUUCCUCAACAAUUUGAUAAGUUCCUUAAAAAGUUCCUAACUUCCUGUUGGCAUUGACCAAUCAGAUUUUAUAUUUUAUUUUUGAGCAAUCUGAUUGGUCAAUGAAACAGGAAGUUAGGAACUUAUCAAAUUGUUGAGGAAUUGUUGAGAGGAACUCCUCGAAGUUA